rnacentral:rRNA from 1 species
CAGUAGCCGCGGUAAUACGAAGGGGGCUAGCGUUGCUCGGAAUGACUGGGCGUAAAGGGCGCGUAGGCGGUUUUGACAGUCAGAUGUGAAAUUCCUGGGCUUAACCUGGGGGCUGCAUUUGAGACGUCAAGACUAGAGUGUGAGAGAGGGUUGUGGAAUUCCCAGUGUAGAGGUGAAAUUCGUAGAUAUUGGGAAGAACACCGGUGGCGAAGGCGGCCCCCUGGGCCAAUACUGACGCUCAUGCACGAAAGCGUGGGGAGCGAACAGGAUUAGAUACCCCAGUAGUCCCUGUCUCUUAUAC